rnacentral:rRNA from 1 species
UACGUAGGGUGCAAGCGUUAAUCGGAAUUACUGGGCGUAAAGCGUGCGCAGGCGGUGAUGUAAGACAGAUGUGAAAUCCCCGGGCUCAACCUGGGAACUGCAUUUGUGACUGCAUCGCUGGAGUGCGGCAGAGGGGGGGUGGAAUUCCACGUGUAGCAGUGAAAUGCGUAGAGAUGUGGAGGAACACCGAUGGCGAAGGCAGCCCCCUGGGCUGAGAUUGACGCUCAGGCACGAAAGCGUGGGGAGCAAACAGG